rnacentral:rRNA from 1 species
AGCUAGUUGGAGGCAACGGCCCACCAAGGCGACGAUCAGUAGCCGGACUGAGAGGUUGACCGGCCACAUUGGGACUGAGAUACGGCCCAGACUCCUACGGGAGGCAGCAGUGGGGAAUAUUGGGCAAUGGGCGCAAGCCUGACCCAGCAACGCCGCGUGAAGGAAGAAGGCUUUCGGGUUGUAAACUUCUUUUAAGUGGGAAGAGCAGAAGACGGUACCACUUGAAUAAGCCACGGCUAACUACGUGCCAGCAGCCGCGGUAAUACGUAGGUGGCAAGCGUUGUCCGGAUUUACUGGGUGUAAAGGGCGUGCAGCCGGGCAUGCAAGUCAGAUGUGAAAUCUCAGGGCUUAACCCUGAAACUGCAUUUGAAACUGUAUGUCUUGAGUGCCGGAGAGGUAAUCGGAAUUCCUUGUGUAGCGGUGAAAUGCGUAGAUAUAAGGAAGAACACCAGUGGCGAAGGCGGAUUACUGGACGGUAACUGACGGUGAGGCGCGAAAGCGUGGGGAGUAAACAGGAUUAGAUACCCUGGUAGUCCACGCUGUAAACGAUGGAUACUAGGUGUGCGGGGACUGACCCCCUGCGUGCCGCAGUUAACACAAUAAGUAUCCCACCUGGGGAGUACGAUCGCAAGGUUGAAACUCAAAGGAAUUGACGGGGGCCCGCACAAGCGGUGGAUUAUGUGUUUAAUUCGAAGCAACGCGAAGAACCUUACCAGGUCUUGACAUCCUGCUAACGAAGUAGAGAUACAUUAGGUGCCCUUCGGGGAAAGCAGAGACAGGUGGUGCAUGGUUGUCGUCAGCUCGUGUCGUGAGAUGUUGGGUUAAGUCCCGCAACGAGCGCAACCCCUAUUGUUAGUUGCUACGCAAGAGCACUCUAGCGAGACUGCCGUUGACAAAACGGAGGAAGGUGGGGACGACGUCAAAUCAUCAUGCCCCUUAUGACCUGGGCUACACACGUAAUACAAUGGCGGUUAACAAAGGGAUGCAAAGCCGCGAGGCAGAGCGAACCCCAAAAAGCCGUCCCAGUUCGGAUCGCAGGCUGCAACCCGCCUGCGUGAAGUCGGAAUCGCUAGUAAUCGUGGGUCAGCAUACCACGGUGAAUACGUUCCCGGGCCUUGUACACACCGCCCGUCACACCAUGAGAGUCGGGAACACCCGAAGUCCGUAGCCUAACCUGAAAAGGAGGGCGCGGCCGAAGGUGGGUUCGAUAAUUGGGGUGAAGUCGUAACAAGGUAGCCGUUCGAGAACGAGCGGCUG